rnacentral:rRNA from 1 species
GAGUUUGAUCCUGGCUCAGGAUGAACGCUGGCGGCGUGCCUAAUACAUGCAAGUCGAGCGAACAGAUAAGGAGCUUGCUCCUUUGACGUUAGCGGCGGACGGGUGAGUAACACGUGGGUAACCUACCUAUAAGACUGGAAUAACUCCGGGAAACCGGGGCUAAUGCCGGAUAACAUUUAGAACCGCAUGGUUCUAAAGUGAAAGAUGGUUUUGCUAUCACUUAUAGAUGGACCCGCGCCGUAUUAGCUAGUUGGUAAGGUAACGGCUUACCAAGGCAACGAUACGUAGCCGACCUGAGAGGGUGAUCGGCCACACUGGAACUGAGACACGGUCCAGACUCCUACGGGAGGCAGCAGUAGGGAAUCUUCCGCAAUGGGCGAAAGCCUGACGGAGCAACGCCGCGUGAGUGAUGAAGGUCUUCGGAUCGUAAAACUCUGUUAUUAGGGAAGAACAAAUGUGUAAGUAACUGUGCACGUCUUGACGGUACCUAAUCAG